GACGAACGCUGGCGGCGUGCUUAACACAUGCAAGUCGAACGAAGAGCGACGGAAGCUUGCUUCUAUCAAUCUUAGUGGCGAACGGGUGAGUAACGCGUAAUCAACCUGCCCUUCAGAGGGGGACAACAGUUGGAAACGACUGCUAAUACCGCAUACGAUCUAAUCUCGGCAUCGAGGAUGGAUGAAAGGUGGCCUCUACAUGUAAGCUAUCACUGAAGGAGGGGAUUGCGUCUGAUUAGCUAGUUGGAGGGGUAACGGCCCACCAAGGCGAUGAUCAGUAGCCGGUCUGAGAGGAUGAACGGCCACAUUGGGACUGAGACACGGCCCAGACUCCUACGGGAGGCAGCAGUGGGGAAUCUUCCGCAAUGGACGAAAGUCUGACGGAGCAACGCCGCGUGAGUGAUGACGGCCUUCGGGCUGUAAAGCUCUGUUAAUCGGGACGAAAGGCCUUCUUGCGAAUAGUGAGAAGGAUUGACGGUACCGGAAGAGAAAGCCACGGCUAACUACGUG
rnacentral:rRNA from 1 species